rnacentral:rRNA from 2 species
CAGGUGCUAAUACCGUAUAUCUCUAAGGAUCGCAUGAUCCUUAGAUGAAAGAUGGUUCUGCUAUCGCUUUUAGAUGGACCCGCGGCGUAUUAACUAGUUGGUGGGGUAACGGCCUACCAAGGUGAUGAUACGUAGCCGAACUGAGAGGUUGAUCGGCCACAUUGGGACUGAGACACGGCCCAAACUCCUACGGGAGGCAGCAGUAGGGAAUCUUCCACAAUGGACGCAAGUCUGAUGGAGCAACGCCGCGUGAGUGAAGAAGGUCUUCGGAUCGUAAAACCCUGUUGUUAGAGAAGAACACGAGUGAGAGUAACUGUUCAUUCGAUGACC